CAGCCGCCGCGGUAAUGCGAAGGGGGCGAGCGUUGCUCGGAAUGACUGGGCGUAAAGGGCGCGUAGGUGGUACGGACAGUCAGAUGUGAAAUUCCCGGGCUCAACCUGGGGGCUGCAUUUGAUACGUCCGAACUAGAGUGUGGAAGAGGGUCGUGGAAUUCCCAGUGUAGAGGUGAAAUUCGUAGAUAUUGGGAAGAACACCGGUGGCGAAGGCGGCGACCUGGUCCAUUACUGACGCUGAGGCGCGAAAGCGUGGGGAGCAAACAGGAUUAGAUACCCCUGUAGUCCCUGUCUCUUAUAC
rnacentral:rRNA from 1 species